UGCGGCCGCUAUGGACCCCUGACCCCGCGGGGUCAUUCGGACUCUAACGUGUGGACUGACCGCUACUGACUGCACCGCCUGCCCCGGUCUCUUGCCGGCCCUUAGCAUGAGCGAGUGGGACCCAGCCGGGUGACAUUGUGCCGGUUGGCGGAUCCUCGAUUGCCCCUUUUCCCGUCCUGCUCCUCCCUCAUGAAGCGAUUCUGAGUACGGGGGGGUUCCGGAUUAUUGUUCUCACGAACCCCCGCUUGUGGUUGGGGGGUAUUUAAUCUGAGGCCUUAGGGUCCUUCGUUGUCUUUUGAGUGUUUUGUGUGUGUACAUAUUUUGCUCUUAAGUUUAUAAAUAUACAUAUAUUGAGAGUGUCCACGUCUCCUCGCUGAACCUUAGGAAUCCUUUGCCACAAUGUCCUGUGUGCACUAUAAAUUUUCCUCUAAACUCAACUACGACACCGUCACCUUUGAUGGGCUCCAUAUCUCCCUCUGCGACUUAAAGAAGCAGAUUAUGGGGAGAGAAAAGCUGAAAGCUGCCGAUAGCGAUCUGCAGAUCACCAACGCGCAGACGAAAGAAGAAUAUACUGAUGAUAAUGCACUCAUUCCUAAAAAUUCAUCUGUAAUUGUCAGAAGAAUUCCUAUUGGAGGUGUUAAGUCUACAAGCAAGACAUAUGUUAUAAGUCGAACUGAACCAGUGAUGGGAACUACAAAAGCAGUAUGUAAAAACACAAUCACCCUUUUUCUACACAAUUGCUUUUACCUUUAUAGCGUUUCAGUGAAGUAACUCACUUAGAACACCCACUGACCAUAGCGCCCACUGUAAACAAAUUGUAUUUUGAUGACAGUUCAGUUGAAUAUGGAUAUAUAUGUGGUAUAAUUUGCAGUUACUCUGUAGAAAUGGGUAAUUUGUACCCUUUACUGUUUCAUAUUAAAUAUGACAGCACUCUCCCUAUAUGACACUGUUGUACAGUAAUGUAUGAUCCUUUUUAGAUGAUGUAGGUUUAACACUGAAGAACAUGACAACAUGUUCUGCAUCUGUCUGUCUAUAGUUAGCAUUUUGUAUGUAUGUACAGGCUGUUUUGUGCUUUUUGUUUCUUGCAAUAAAAAAUUGUUUUGGAGUGU
rnacentral:lncRNA from 1 species